GAUGAAGAACGUAGCGAAAUACGAUACGUAAUGUGAAUUGCAAAUUCAGUGAAUCAUCGAGUCUUUGAACGCACAUUGCGCCCCCUGGUAUUCCGGGGGGCAUGCCUGUCCGAGCGUCAUUGCUGCCCUCAAGCACGGCUUGUGUGUUGGGCCCCGUCCUCCGAUCCCGGGGGACGGGCCCGAAAGGCAGCGGCGGCACCGCGUCCGGUCCUCGAGCGUAUGGGGCUUUGUCACCCACUCUGUAGGCCCGGCCGGCGCUUGCCGAUCAACCCAAAUUUUUAUCCAGGUUGACCUCGGAUCAGGUAGGGAUACCCGCUGAACUUAAGCAUAUCAAUAAGCGGAGGA
rnacentral:misc_RNA from 1 species